GACAGAGGUGCCGAGCGUUAGGCGGAAUCACUGGGCUUAAAGCGUGUGUAGGCGGAUCGUUAAGUACCUUGUGAAAUCCCACGGCUCAACUGUGGAACUGCUGGGUAUACUGGCGAUCUUGAGCCACCUAGGGGCGAGCGGAACAAGCGGUGGAGCGGUGAAAUGCGUAGAUAUCGCUUGGAACGCCAAUGGUGAAAACAGCUCGCUGGGGGUGUGCUGACGCUGAGACACGAAAGCCAGGGGAGCGAACGGG
rnacentral:rRNA from 1 species